UACGAAGGGGGCUAGCGUUGUUCGGAAUUACUGGGCGUAAAGCGCACGUAGGCGGAUCCUUAAGUCGGGGGUGAAAGCCCGAGGCUCAACCUCGGAACUGCCUUCGAUACUGCGGGUCUCGAGUCCGGGAGAGGUGAGUGGAAUUCCUAGUGUAGAGGUGAAAUUCGUAGAUAUUAGGAAGAACACCAGUGGCGAAGGCGGCUCACUGGCCCGGUACUGGACGCUGAGGCGCGAAAGCGUGGGGGAGCAAACAGGG
rnacentral:rRNA from 1 species